GAUGAACGCUGGCGGCGUGCCUAAUACAUGCAAGUCGAACGAACAGAUGCGGAGCUUGUUCCUCUGACGUUAGCGGCGGACGGGUGAGUAACACGUGGAUAACCUCCCUAUCAGUCUGGGAUCACUUCGGGAAACCGGCGAUUAUCCCGUAUAAUAUCUUGAUCCACAUGGUUCAUUGGUGAAAGUCGGUUUUGCUGGCUGUUCUAGAUGGUUCCGGGCCGCAUUGGCUAGUCGGUAGGGUAACGGCUUAUCAAGGGUACGAUGCGUAGCCGACCUGAGUGGGUGAUCGCCCACACUGGAGCGUGGACAGGCUCCAGACUCCUACGGGAGGCCGCAGAAGGGAAUCUUCCGCAAUGGGCGAAAGCCUUACGGAGCAAGCCCGCGUGAGUGAUGGAGGUCUCCGGAUCGUAAUGCCCUGUUAUGAGGGAAGAACAGAUUUGGAAUGAACUGUGCACGUCGUGACGGUACCUAAUCAGAAAGCCACGGCUAACUACGUG
rnacentral:rRNA from 1 species